AUGAUGGUGUUUCCCACCCUCCAUGCUUCAUUCGGGUCUUCUCCUCUUCCUGUCGCACCACACAAUUCUACUGCAAUGGAUACUCAAGCCAAGAAUGCUGAGGUUGAGACAAUUGUUGGGCGCACUGGUUCAAGGGGACAGGUGACUCAAGUUAGAGUGAGAUUUAUUGAAGACCCGAGCCGUCGCAUUAUGAGGAAUGUGAAAGGACCUGUCAGAGUGGGUGAUGUCCUCACUCUACUGGAGUCUGAAAGGGAAGCAAGGAGGUUGCGGUAG